rnacentral:tRNA from 1 species
GGCAGGGUAGCUCAGUUUGGUCAGAGCGGGGGACUCAUAAGCCCUAGGUCGCGGGUUCAAAUCCCGCCCCUGCCA